CCUACGGGAGGCAGCAGUAAGGAAUAUUGGACAAUGGCCGCAAGGCUGAUCCAGCCAUGCCGCGUGCAGGAUGACGGUGCUCUGCAUUGUAAACUGCUUUUGUUCGGGAAUAAACCUCUUCACGUGUGAGGAGUUGAAUGUACCGAAAGAAUAAGGGACGGCUAACUUCGUGCCAGCAGCCGCGGUAAUACGAAGGUCCCAAGCGUUAUCCGGAUUUAUUGGGUUUAAAGGGUGCGUAGGCGGGUUAUUAAGUCAGUGGUGAAAGCUCCCAGCUCAACUGGGAAACUGCCAUUGAUACUGAUAGUCUUGAGUAUGAUUGAAGUGGGCGGAAUGUGUCAUGUAGCGGUGAAAUGCUUAGAUAUGACACAGAACACCGAUUGCGAAGGCAGCUCACUAAGCCAUAACUGACGCUGAUGCACGAAAGCGUGGGGAGCAAACAGGAUUAGAUACCCUGGUAGUCCACGCCCUAAACGAUGAUCACUCGAUGUGUGCGAUAAACUGUACGCGUCCAAGCGAAAGCAUUAAGUGAUCCACCUGGGGAGUACGACCGCAAGGUUGAAACUCAAAGGAAUUGAGGCUUGAGGACGNGCGAGGACGACACGAGGGAGGAG
rnacentral:rRNA from 1 species